rnacentral:tRNA from 1 species
CCUCUCAUGGCGUAGGGGUAACGCGCCCUAACUAGACAUCAGGUAGUCGUGAGUUCGAUUCUCACUGAUAAGA